rnacentral:rRNA from 1 species
ACGAACGCUGGCGGCGUGCCUAAUACAUGCAAGUUGAACGCAACAAAGACACCAGAGCUUGCUCUACCGUCUUUGUUGAGUAGCGAACGGGUGAGUAACGCGUGGGUAACCUGCCUUAUAGCGGGGGAUAACUAUUGGAAACGAUAGCUAAUACCGCAUAACAAUAGAGAUUGCAUAAUCUUUAUUUGAAAGUGCCAACUGGUACACUAUGAGAUGGACCGCGUUGUAUUAGCUAGUUGGUAGUGUAAUGGACUACCAAGGCGAUGAUACAUAGCCGACCUGAGAGGGUGAUCGGCCACAUUGGGACUGAGACACGGCCCAAACUCCUACGGGAGGCAGCAGUAGGGAAUCUUCGGCAAUGGACGAAAGUCUGACCGAGCAACGCCGCGUGAGUGAAGAAGGUUUUCGGAUCGUAAAACUCUGUUGUUAGAGAAGAAUGUUGAUUAGAGUGGAAAAUUAAUCAAGUGACGGUAUCUAACCAGAGAGGGACGGCUAACUACGUG